AAGUAGAAUAAGGAAAAGAAUAAAAUAAAAGGUUUAUUUAAUUCCUUAUAAUUUUUUUUUAUUAUUAUUAUUUUAUAUGAAACAACUCUUCGUCUUCUUCUUCCUUGUGCCACCUGAGACCUAGUCUCUCCCUUGUUUUCGUUUCUCCAGCCGUCGACGACGCAACUCGUGACCAUGCCGCCUCCAGCCAUCAACGCUCCACUCGACGUCAGUCCGAGUCGUCUUCGCCGCCGCCGACCCAGCCCGCUCCCGCUGCGUCAUUGCAGAGCUCAUCCCCGCCCUCUGGAUCGGCGCAUCCCUCUGGAUCCACGCAUUCGCCGCCCCUCUGCCGGAAACCCAGCCUCGUUCACCGCUUCAGCCGUCGCUUCACGUUUUGUCCAGCUGCAAACUCGCGCGACCGGAAACCAAACUUCGUUGGCCGCUCAUCCAGCCCACUGCCCGAGCCCAGCCGCCGAUCUCCGCUGGUCACUGGCUUCCUUCACUGUCGUUCGUCGGAUUUCGAUGAACGUUGAUAAGUUUUGGAUCCAUGAUUGGAGUACUUCAGAGUGCGCAACGUGUUGACCAACGGAUUCGAGUUCGUUCGGCAAGUAGUUUGGGGACUCAAUUAAUGACUUAUUUGGUUGGAGAUCAUUAGCUUGGAUUAAUAUUUGAAUUUGACUUCGAGGUAAAGGUAGAGAUGUGCUGGUGAUGGACGAGUGGAAUUUGUGAUCGAGCCAUUGAGACUAGUUUUAUGCUUCCGCUCAUGAGAUUUAGAUUUUUUUUCAUGUUUUUCUUAACUUUCAGUUUUGAUGUUUAAAACUUACUAUUAAGAAUCGUUUUCAGACU